GAUUCCAUUUGCCCAAAUUGCAAAAACCGUGAAUUAAGCAGUUAUAAGUGACCACAUUAAGCUCCACACUGAUCUGAAACAUUAGUUUGAUUAUAUUUUGCGCCUCUGAAAUCAUUCCUUCUUUACAAAGAGUAUCAAUUAAUAUACUGAAGGUAAUAACAUUUGGGGAAAUGUUCUGUCCGACCAUUUCAUUCAACAGGGCCAAAGCUUGGUUCCAUUUACCUAAAUUGCAAAGACCAUGAAUU
rnacentral:misc_RNA from 1 species